rnacentral:lncRNA from 1 species
GGGCAAAACUUUUUCUUUCUAUUCAAAUGCAAUUUUUCCCUGAUGCAACGGGUAAUUUAUGAAUCACAAUUUACUAUUUUUUCCCCUCUAAAGUUGAAGUACAAUUCUUAGAACAGUUCUAACAGGGUCGGCCAUGACAAUUUAGAGGUCUCAAGCAACUAAUUAAUAUGAGGCUCUUCAACGUAAUAUUUUAUUUUACAAGUGUAAUAAUAUUUAAUAUUUAAAUAUUUAACACUUUUAUAUUAAAAAGAAGACUUUAUACAAUUCAAAAGAUAGAGUUGUAAAAUAAAACUUUACUCACAACCCUAGAGAUUACGCUAGCAUAAAAUUUAACUUUAUUGCAUUUUGAGAUGUAAAAUUAAUAAUUAAACUACUAAAAUCAACUUUUUCCAAACUUCUCCAAAAAGAAAGGAUUUGACAAUAACAAAUGACCUACAAAUAUGUAGUUAUAGAGGAUAAGCAAAAGUCCACCUUGAGCAAAUAACUAAAAGGAUAAAAAAAAAGUCUAUUACAACACAUCAAGUGGCUUUUCUUGAAGCUCCAAUAUUAAAACCAUCAGGUAAAAUUACAGGAGAACAAAACACAGGCGCAGAUUAAUUUAUGAAUAACGCUUGUGGUACACCGAGGUGUCCAACGGGGUGUCCAAAAUGUCCUCCGUUAUCCUUAUUGAGUUAAACGCUUGAUCUUGAGUCCCAUCACAGUUCACACACAAUCAAGACAUGAGUUAAACUCCUUUCUUCAUUUCUUUAAUAAAUAAAAUAAUCAACAGUUAUUUGUUGAAUUGGGUUCAAUGAAUAUAAUAUUAAUAAAUUCAUUCUCUUUCUUAGUGGGUCGGAUUUUAAUUGAAUUUUGUUGAUUACAGGAGUUCGAAUAGAUUAAUGGAAUGCCCCUAUUAUGAUUAUUGCUUCUCUCCAUCGCCAAAGGCAUAUCAAAUUAUAAAAUCUUGAUGCAAUGAACUCACAAAUUUUGGAACAAAUAUAAAUGAAUUUAUGCCAAUAGUAACAAAGAAAUUCAUAAUUUGAGAGUGAGGGUUUAACCAAUAAAUGACUUUACCUAGUAAAACUCUUCUCUCCUCAUAUUCCGUUGUUUAUCUCAAACUUUGAGACUGAGUCCACUGUCUGUGUAUUGGAUUUAUAGAAGAAGAGAGUAUCCAUGGCUGUAUUUCAGGUGAGGUUUUUGCAAAGGGAAUUCAAAUCACAAAAAGAAAUUGACGAAAAUGUAAUGAAGAGAAGACAACUGCCAACGCGUACUUCAGAAAUCAGAUUUGAAGACUGAAAAUUUAAUGGAAUAGAGAGAUUUUUUGGGCAGAGAAUGAAGAUUCUUGCCGGUUGGAGUCUUGGAGAAAAAGACGGUGAUUG